GAUGAACGCUGGCGGCGUGCCUAAUACAUGCAAGUCGAGCGAACAGACGAGGAGCUUGCUCCUCUGACGUUAGCGGCGGACGGGUGAGUAACACGUGGAUAACCUACCUAUAAGACUGGGAUAACUUCGGGAAACCGGAGCUAAUACCGGAUAAUAUAUUGAACCGCAUGGUUCAAUAGUGAAAGACGGUUUUGCUGUCACUUAUAGAUGGAUCCGCGCCGCAUUAGCUAGUUGGUAAGGUAACGGCUUACCAAGGCAACGAUGCGUAGCCGACCUGAGAGGGUGAUAGGCCACACUGGAACUGAGACACGGUCAAGACUCCGACGGGAGGCAGCAGUAGGGAAUCGUCCGCAAUGGGCGAAAGCCUGACGGAGCAACGCCGCGUGAGUGAUGAAGGUCUUCGGAUCGUAAAACUCUGUUAUUAGGGAAGAACAAAUGUGUAAGUAACUAUGCACGUCUUGACGGUACCUAAUCAGAAAGCCACGGCUAACUACGU
rnacentral:rRNA from 1 species